rnacentral:lncRNA from 1 species
UUUGUUGAUUUUUUUGUUAAUUAUAUACAUAUUUUUAUAAAUGUAAUUGUAAAUUGUUAUGAAUGAUUGUAUUUCUUUUUUUUUUUUGUAUUCGAUUUUCUGGUUUUACAGGCCUAUAGAAAAUUUAUACCUUGAACAUUUUCAUUUGUGGUUAUAACUUGUUGCCAGAAAAUCCUCAAAAAAAUGACAUUCCACAAAUAAUAAUGAUUCAACAGAAAUCUAAUUCUUUUCUAGUUUUAUGGCUCUUAGUGCAAUAUAAAAUGUCCAAACUUGAGGAGUAACCUUGGGAUGAAUUACCUGUGUGUUUUUGUCAAUGAUUCUUAUAUGUAUUCUAAGUUUUUCACUCAAAUAAAUGACAAAACUGGCCAAUGAAAAUGAUUUCUAAUUCAUAGAGUUGUCUCCCUUAUAUCAGAAUAUCUGCCUGAAACAAGCAAUCUUUAAUACAAUUUGUGUAAUUUUUAGUUUGUUGAAUUUUUUUACAACUGAUAUAUUUAAAAAACCUUUUGUGGUUUUAUUUUUUUAUAUUUUUUAUUGUUGAUAUGCCCUUAUGAUGUCAACACUUUGAUGACUUUGCCUGAUGAUGUCACACAAACAGGAAAGAUUUUUUGCAAUUCAUCAGAAGAAAAAUAUCGGGAAAGCAUUCCACCACAUCAUUUUGUGCAAAAUAUGAUUACUCUUUACAGUUUAAUUUGAAUACCAAAUCCGGUAACAGAAACAAAGGUCUAAUCGAGACAUAGAAAUAAAGGUUCUGCCACCACUCUUCCCAAAUAAAUGCAUGAUUUUUAACAACAUUUUUAUUGUAACAGUAUAUUACCUGUAUAUAUCGAAUAAGUAUUAUAUUUUUUACUUUACAUGCAUUUCAGUUAGUAAAUGUUUUAUGCAACAAUCAAUUAUUAGCCUUAUGUUUAAUUUAUGUAAUUUCAACCAGGGGGAGACAAUUCAUAAGCAUGAAACAUCAAAAUUUGGUAAAGGGAGAUUAUUUGCUAGUUAUACUGACUGAUCUAUUCAUCGAUGAAGGAGACAAAGCAUUGUUGUUGCUCAUUGACCAGUGCAUUUAUUGAUGUAUUAUUUUGCCUUGUAGGUUUUUUUUAAUUCAAAAUGUCCGUAUGAAAUUCUUUGCUUGCAUUGAAUAGAUGGUCACAUGAAAAAUUAAUUAUAGCAUUUAACAUUGUUAGUAGUUAUUGAAUAACACUCACUGAUCUUUUUAGAUGAUUAACACUGUGUAUUUAUGUGCAUAUUUUAGGUGUAACACCACUAAUUCGGGCCCGGCCAGAAAGCACAUACCAGAAAGUAGUACAUAUUUAACGCAAAAUAGUUCCUACGCAUGAGUGUAACUUUCAAAAUAUGUAGGAUAUUUUAGGUAGUUUUGACAUCAAAUGAAAGCUGAGGACUGGUGAUCAUUGUAGAACACUUUUGGACUUUUAAUUUUAAAUAUUUAAAAAACUGCAGCAAAUUUUGAAAAGAGGGUACAUUUGGUCUGUUUGUCAGAUCUGAAGCACCUGUUUUGGUACAUCCGAAGUUCUGGGAACCAGUUCUUUCUUAUAUGCCAUGUAAGGUAUGUUGAUUUUUUCAGUAGAAGACGCCAUAAAGUGUUGCUUUAAAGUGCAAUGAUUGCCACUUUAUUUGAACUUAAAAUGAAAGAGGUGUGCCUGGUUGAAAUGGAGGAAUUUAACAUAGAAAGUAAUGGGACCAUGAAUUAGUGGUGUACUUCCUUUAUAAUAUAUAGUAUAGCAAAACGUUAUGAAGAGAAAAUCAAUGAAGGAAACUUUAUACAUGUUGAGCCUCUUAUUAAGCUUUUUGUUUGUUGAUUGCAAACCUGCUGCCAAACUGCAGUGCGGCUAUUGACAAAAAUGUUUUUUUAAUGACAAAACAAGUAGUUAAAAAUUGUUUGCUCAACUGUUAUGUGUUAUUGUGCUUGUCUACUUCUUUACUAUAUUUUUACAUUUCAAAAAUUGGUUGUGCAAAAGAUUUUUAAGGUGCCGUAUUGUUUUUGAGAAAGGCAAUUUCUCAUAUUUUGCAAAUUUUCAAUAUUUUUUGUAACUUAUCUUUUAUUCUAAAUUUAUGCUUGUAAUAUAAAGACUCAUGACUUUUUUUCACCAUUUAUCCUUUUUAUAGAUUCAUUUUAAACAUUCUUUCAGAAUAUUUUCCUGUUACUCUGUCCAAACAUUUUAUAAAGUAAGAAAAUAUCACCUUUGAUUUUUAAGAAUUUUAUUAUUUUGUUCACCAUAUUCAUUCUAAAGGGGAAAUUAAUUUAUUUUUCACACUUUGAAAUUUGAUUUUUGAGAUACUUAUAAACAAGAGCAUUCACUAAUUUUCAUUUUUCCAGAAAAAAGAACACAAUGAGACUGAUUUUGAGAAACAUUUUCACUAAUAUAUUACCAGUAAAAUCACUGAUUUUAUAUUCACACAAUGUCCAAUGACAUGAUUUAGUAUUUUUUGAUUAUGUACUGAAUUAUGAAAUAUUUAUAUCAAUAUUGAACAUCAUCUUAGGGCACAGUUAUAUACACUCAGAUUUACAACUAAAUUUAAUUGUUUAAUUGAUUAAAACAUGGUAAAAAUGUUUGACUUUGUGAUAAUAAAAUCAAAUAUGAGAUUAUCAUAUAGAGAGAUAGAACAUGUAUAAAAAAUGUGAUCAUGGUAAUUUUAUAGUAAUAAUGAGAUUUAAUAAAUAAGCAAUAAAGGAUUAAAACUAUGCGCUUACCAAAGUAAAAAAUACUGUAAAUUCAGAAAUUAUUGUGCAUUUAUUAUUGUGAUUCUGACUAAAAUGCGAUUGUUAUCUUUGCGAUAUUUAGAAAAACCCUGUUUAAUUCAUAUAUUAAAAGAAUUUCAAAAUGUUUAAACUUUUGCGAUUAUAACCCUGUCACAUUUUUCACAAAAAUAAAACAUCGCAAUACUCUCUGAAUUUACAGUAGAAUUGCCAUAUUGAAAAAUUGUGAUUACCAAAGAAAAGAAUUUUUAUUACCAUAUCAAAAAUAUGUGAUUAUGAGUUUAUCUUAGUGAAAAUUUUUUAAAUUAUGGGACUACCAUGAAUGUAAGAAAUGUGCGAUGAUGAGUUUACCAUAGUAAAAUUUGUGACUACCGGAUAUCUUCUGGAUUCAAAGGAAAUAUUCUAACUUUUCUGUUAUGUCUACUGCUUCAUACCUCUAGAGAAAAAAAAAAGACUGCUGUUGUUGAAUGACUUUAAAUAAAGUGUAAAAAAAA